rnacentral:tRNA from 1 species
UCCUGGCUGGCUCAGUUGGGAGAGCAUGUGACUCUUGAUCUCGGGUUGUGGGUUCGAGCCUCAUGUUUGGUG